ACCUCUAAGGAUGCCCCAGAUGGGACGGCCACUCUGGAAGAGAAGACUCCGUGUUCUUCGUGGAAGAUGAGACUGGCUGGCCGGCCGGCCAGGGCCAUGGGCUUGUCCUAGCUGUAAGUCAUCUGGGCCACUCACCUGGGCGUCCUCCUCCUGCAGGAGGCCUUCCCAAGGGCCACUCCACCUCGGGGGAAACAGCUGUGGUUUUGUCACCAGUGUCACCUCAUGAGACGUCGAAGAGAGGCUUCCUGGGCCCCAGGCCACCUUCCCGAGGAGAACCUGGUGUCAGCACCGUUCAGGGUGUGUGACUGGUUGACCAGAGGGGCAAGCACUCUGUUCACCCUCUGGGCCACCUAGUCGCCAACCCUCAGCACCAACCCCAGCUGCCUGGGAGACGUGGAGGAGGUCCUGCCGACUUUGGGGACAGCAGUGGAUGUGCGCUGGCGGCUGCUCUGUGGAUUCGGACAACCGUGGCAGGGAGGGCGCGUGGACUCAAAAAGUGAUGCGUCAUGGUGGUGGCAUCCGUGUCACUGCUACAGCCUCCUUGACGUGCUCCUGGGACAACGCGUUGCUUUCCACUGAGGGACCGGAAGCCAGUGGCCAGCCACAUUGGGGAAGGGUCCACAGAGGUGAUGCCCACGGGGAAGUAGCCACGGUUCAACCAGCACAGGAUUCAAGGGGCUACCAUGACGUGCUGACGUGAUGAUGGCAGUGAGAUGGCAGCCCUCCUGGUCCAGGAGGACGAGCGGGAGUCACCCCUGCUUAGGUGUCAGAUUCUGCCUCGGAGGGCUCCCCAGGCCAGUGCUGCUUCCAAGCAUCCUGUCCGCCCUCGUGGCCACUCCCAAGCUGCCCAGGCCGUGUGGAUGUGGGAAGCCACCAGCAAUGCUGCCCCGUGGUACUCGGAGGGAGGUUGUCCGUGGAUGCUCCACCACCUUCUGGGAUGUACAUGGAGUCAGUACCAUUUGCUAGGGAGACUUCUUGGAAGUAAUACCCACUUUUAGGGAUGAGGUCGCAACUCUGAGGUCAGUGCCAUACCUUGGUAUGUAAUAAAGUUUGUGUUGCAUGCUAUCAUUUUCUUUAUGAGCAGUAUCGCAAACUCAGCUUCUUUGGAAUGAACUCCGGCUUCGGAGGGCUUUCUGGACACAAGGUGUAUGUGAGAAAAGGAUCACUGCUGUCAGCUUGGAUGCAAAUAUGAAAUGAGGCUGUGUUCCCUGCUAUGAUAAAUAAUGAAUUCUUAUUCCUUGAUCUCUCCACAAUGCAAUAGUCUUGAAAGUGCUUCUUAGAUAUCUUGCCAAACAGGCAAAGGUGUUGAUGUCUGGGCUACUUCGGGGUCUAGGAUGGGACAGUUGAAUGAACUUGGAGGUAUGUUUCACUCACGACCCUUUCUACCAGUUUGUUAACACUCAGUAUUCCCUCUGUCCUUAGGACAUUCUGGAGGAGGCCAGCUUUGAAGAUGAGGCCCUGGCACCUGGUUAGUGCUAAUC